UUAACAACUGCAUUAAGGCUUCUAUUUUGCUGUUGACACCAGCAUUUGCAAGGCUUAUUUUGCGACUUAAUCUUCAGCCUCCUGAAUUUGUUACUGCUAGCCUCUUGCUUGUAGCCUUGUAGGGGAUAAGAAAAGGUAGAGUUCCCCAAAAACCAUUCGCAAAAUAAUCGAUUUCUUUGCCUGGAAGUCUACGAUUACUCAUUGGCACCAA